GCCGGGCAUGGUGGCGGGUGCCUGUAAUCCCAGCUACUCAGGAGGCUGAGGCAGGAGAAUCGCUUGAACUCAGGAGGCAGAGAUUGCAGUGAGCAAAGAUAGCACCACUGCACUCCCGCCUGGGUGACAGAGCAAGACUCCGUCUCAA
rnacentral:SRP_RNA from 1 species